UAACUUUGUGCUUUCUUCACAGUGAAAAGCUAAUUGCAACUUUCCGGCAAGCCAUCACUGACUGACUCUGGUUAUUUUGGGAAGAAGAACUCCCACAACUUUAAGGAAGGGUGGAAAGGUCACAAUCCUGAAAGGAAUCCUCAGAAACUUGGAGGACAGACAAGAGGGAGUUCUGUCUGAAGCUGGCUCAGAGAGAAGCCAGAUGCCACAUCACAAAACCCUUCAGAAAGUCUACAUAGCAGAGAACUGAGGCCUACUGAGAAUCGCAAGAGUAAGCUUCUGAUAGGAUUCUCCAACACUACCAGAGUCUCCAGAGACCCAAAGCCUCAGCUCACAGCCUAGCUACAGUAUUGCAAGAGACCUGGAGUCACCACUGCCCACUUACUAGCUACUCCAAGAUGCUCUCCUCUCAGAAGUCGUGUGUUAAGAGCCAAGCCUGGCCUGCGUGAAGAGUUCAGUCAGUACCUGAGGAUGUACCAUAAGCCAGUAGUUGGCUUCACUCCAACUCUCUCUUCCGUCCCACAGACCCUCUCUGAAGUUCUAGACACCACCACAAGGUAAGACUCUCCUGGUCAAGUAGCUUCUGGGUUCUGGCUCCCAGCUUCACCCAGUGUAGAGACAGUGCUGGCUGCCUGUUCUGGGCAGA